CAACUUUCAACAACGGAUCUCUUGGCUCUCGCUCGAUGAAGAACGCAGCGAAAUGCGAUAAGUAAUGUGAAUUGCAGAAUUCAGUGAAUCAUCGAAUCUUUGAACGCAUCUUGCGCUCCUUGGUAUUCCAUGGAGCAUGCCUGUUUGAGUGUCACGU
rnacentral:rRNA from 1 species